rnacentral:misc_RNA from 1 species
GAUGAAGAACGCAGCGAAAUGCGAUAAGUAAUGUGAAUUGCAGAAUUCAGUGAAUCAUCGAAUCUUUGAACGCACAUUGCGCCCGCCAGUACUCUGGCGGGCAUGCCUGUCCGAGCGUCAUUUCAACCAUCAAGCCCCCGGCUUGUGUUGGGGACCUGCGGCUGCCGCAGGCCCUGAAAACCAGUGGCGGGCUCGCUAGUCACUCCGAGCGUAGUAAUACAUCUCGCUCAGGGCGUGCUGCGGGUUCCGGCCGUUAAAAAAGCCUUAUUUACCCAAGGUUGACCUCGGAUCAGGUAGGAAGACCCGCUGAACUUAAGCAUAUCAAUAAGCGGAGGA